rnacentral:rRNA from 1 species
AGCGAACGCUGGCGGCAGGCCUAACACAUGCAAGUCGAACGGACCCUUCGGGGUUAGUGGCGGACGGGUAAGUAACACGUGGGAACGUGCCUUUAGGUUCGGAAUAGCUCCUGGAAACGGGUGGUAAUGCCGAAUGUGCCCUUCGGGGGAAAGAUUUAUCGCCUUUAGAGCGGCCCGCGUCUGAUUAGCUUGUUGGUGGGGUAAUGGCCCACCAAGGCUACGAUCAGUAGCUGGUCUGAGAGGAUGACCAGCCACAUUGGGACUGAGACACGGCCCAAACUCCUACGGGAGGCAGCAGUGGGGAAUCUUGCGCAAUGGGCGAAAGCCUGACGCAGCCAUGCCGCGUGUAUGAUGAAGGUCUUAGGAUUUGUAAAAUACUCUCACCGGUGAAGAUAAUGACUGUAGCCGGAGAAGAAGCCCCGGCUAACUUCGUGCCAGCAGCCGCGGUAAUACGAAGGGGGCUAGCGUUGCUCGGAAUUACUGGGCGUAAAGGGAGCGUAGGCGGACAUUUAAGUC